GCUAGGUUGGCAGAGCCUGGCUUAAUGCAAAAGGCCUAAACCCUUUACUCAGAGAUUCAAAUCCUCUACCUAGCA